rnacentral:lncRNA from 1 species
UGAUUGACGGCAGUUCGUGGAUUCGGAUCGUGAGCUUCGUGGAUUCGGAGUGGAGGCGUUUCGUGGAUUCGGAACGUGGCGUUCGUGGAUUUGAACGUGAGGGCGUGGGAGGAUUGAGUGAGAUUCAUAGGAGGUUAAGAGAGGUCGAGUCCGUGGAGUCGGUAAUCAUCUUGUAAUCUUUUCUCUUAGUGAAUUAUUUUUUCGCGUGUUGGUCCCGUGGGUUUUUCUCCAAGUUGGAGUUUUUCCACGUAAAUCUCGGUGUGAUUUUUAUUUUUCGUAUUUAUUUUUUAUCGCAUUGAGAUUUGUGGUUUUUGGCUAUUACACCUAUUCACCCCUUCUAGGUGUUAGAUACAAUCUAGAUAGAUCCUUGGGCUUCUCAAAACUUACAAUUGGUAUCAGAGCCGGAUCUAGAUAAAUUGUUAUCUAAUCGCCGAAGGCGGUAACAUUAAUCGACCACCGCUCUUCGAUGGCACAAACUAUGCCUAUGGAAAAGUUCGCAUGAGAGCUUUUCUAAUCGCAAUCGAUGAGCGCGUUUGGCAAUCUAUAGAAUUUGGAUGGAAACAUCCUAUUGAAAAGGUCGAGAAUGUUGAAACACCAAAACCACGAAACAAGUGGACAAAAGAUGAAAACGAGUCAUCCUCGUUUAACGGUAAAGGAAUUAACGCUUUAUUCACUGCUUUAUCGCAAACGGAGUUUACUCGUGUUUCGGCAUGCGAAACGGCAAAGAAAAUUUGGGAUACUCUACAAGUUACGCAUGAAGGAACAAGCUUAGUAAAGGUUCAAAAAUUACAAAUGUUAACAAGCAAAUUCGACUCAAUUUUCAUGGAAGAAAAUGAAACGUUUACUGAGUACUACACGCGUCUACAAGACGUAGUCAAUACAUGCGCUAACUUGGGAGAGAAAAUCCCGGAUGCUCAGGUUUCUAGAAAGAUUCUUCGAACUCUUUCGGAAUGCUUUCGGGCAAAAGUUGCCGCGAUCGAAACCAUAAAGCAUCCGGACGAGAUGAAAGUCGAAGAGUUAGUAGGCGCUUUAUAAACGUAUGAGAUGACUUUUCCUACUAACCCAUCUUCUUCCAAGUCUUUUUCUAAAAGUACAGGGGUUGCACUCAAAUCGACUAAGAGAGAAGAUGACGACUCGGACUCCGACGAAGAGAUCUCAAUCGCGGACUUUGAACAUCAAUUGGCGCUCCUAACGAAAAAGUUCCGACGAAAUUUCCGAAAGAAGAACAAUUCGGACAAGACUUUAUCUUCGAAGCAUAAAUCUUUUUCUAAACACUCUUCAAGUUUUAAAUCUAAGGAUAAAAAACUUGCAAAGUCUUCGAAAGAAAAAGAUGAAUUUGAAGGCGAAAUUCAAUGCUACAAAUGCAAAGGCUACGGCCAUAUUGCAACGGAUUGUCCUUCAAAGAAGACUUAUAAGCAAAAGGCUUUGCAAGCUAAGACUUGGGAUGAUUCUUCUUCUAGUGAAUCAUCUUCAAGUGAUNAAGCGAAGGAUCACCAUAAUCAUGAUGCUCUUCAUGACGGCGUCGUGGAUUCGACGUGAUUGACGGCAGUUCGUGGAUUCGGAUCGUGAGCUUCGUGGAUUCGGAGUGGAGGCGUUUCGUGGAUUCGGAACGUGGCGUUCGUGGAUUUGAACGUGAGGGCGUGGGAGGAUUGAGUGAGAUUCAUAGGAGGUUAAGAGAGGUCGAGUCCGUGGAGUCGGUAAUCAUCUUGUAAUCUUUUCUCUUAGUGAAUUAUUUUUUCGCGUGUUGGUCCCGUGGGUUUUUCUCCAAGUUGGAGUUUUUCCACGUAAAUCUCGGUGUGAUUUUUAUUUUU